GUGCUCGCUUCAGCAGCACAUAUAUACUAAAAUUGGACUGAUACAGAGAAGAUUAGCAUGGCCCCUGUGCAAAGAUGACACGCAAAUUCGUGAAGCAUUCCAUAUUUUU